AUAGGAAUCUGAAAUCAUUUGACUCUCAAAAAUCCAUCUGGAAGAACCUUACACGUCCUGACUUCCUACAUCAAAAUCUGCAAAUAGGUACCCUAUGUAGUCCUCAGAGAAACUGCGAUUCCUAUUUUCAGAGACUUCAAAAGUUUUUAAAAUUUUCUAUGUAAGUUUUUAACUUAACUGGUAAGUGGGGUUUUAAAUUUCAUAGGAAUCUGAAACUAUUUGACUCCCGAAAAUCCAUCUGGAAGAACCUUACACGUCCUAACUUCCUACAUCAAAACUUGCAAAUAGAUACCCUGCACAGUCCUUAGAGAAACCGCGAUUUCUAUUUUCAGAGGCUUCAAAAAAUUUUCAAAUUUUUUGGGUAAGUUCUUAACUUGACCGCUAAGUGGGGUUUUAAAUUUGAUAGGAAUAUGAAACCAUUUGUCUCCCGAAAAACUAUCUGGAAGAACCUUACACGUCCUAACUUUUUGUAUCAAAACCUGC
rnacentral:lncRNA from 1 species